CAUGGCUCUUGCUUGCCACAAAGUUACACAUUUCAGAACCAUCCAGCAGAGGAGAAGUGCUUGAUCUCAGGCUCCUGUGAGCAGAGGCUAUCUCCCUAAAUCCUAUAUAGAGCCUAAAUUGGAUUAAGAAAAUACAAGAGCAGAUACCUGCCAAAGAUUUCAAAAUGGAAGUUUUGCCUCUGAAAAUAUGGAUUGGGAAAAGAAAACGAAGCAUGUAGGAAAGUUAAAACCUCCAAACAAGCAUGUUCUUCUGUCAACUUGGACUUCUUGUAAACCAUCAGAUGUUGCCAGUUUUAUGGCAAAGGGAGAAAGAAGGAGGAAAUACAUCCAUCUGGGGACAUGUACUGCACUGACUCAUUAAUGGAGACUGGUGUAUAUCCCACCAGUAUAUAGAACAAAAGAAUGAUUCUCGG